GAUGAACGCUGGCGGCGUGCCUAAUACAUGCCAGUCGAGCGAACAGACGAGGAGCUUGCUCCUCUGACGUUAGCGGCGGACGGGUGAGUAACACGUGGAUAACCUACCUAUAAGACUGGGAUAACUUCGGGAAACCGGAGCUAAUACCUGAUAAUAUAUUUAACCGCAUGGUUCAAUAGUGAAAGACGGUUUUGCUGUCACUUAUAGAUGGAUCCGCGCCGCAUUAGCUAGUUGGUAAGGUAACGGCUUACCAAGGCAACGAUGCGUAGCCGACCUGAGAGGGUGAGCGGCCACACUGGAACUGAGACACGGUCCAGACUCCUACGGGAGGCAGCAGUAGGGAAUCUUCCGCAAUGGGCGAAAGCCUGACGGAGCAACGCCGCGUGAGUGAUGAAGGUAUUCGGAUCGUAAAACUCUGUUAUUAGGGAAGAACAAAUGUGUAAGUAACGAUGCACGUCUUGACGGUACCUAAUGAGAAAGCCACGGCUAACUACGUG
rnacentral:rRNA from 1 species